UUAGUGGCGGACGGGUGAGUAACGCGUGGGUAACCUGCCGUAUACAGGGGGAUAACACUUAGAAAUAGGUGCUAAAACCGCAUAAGCGCACAGCGCCGCAUGGCGCAGUGUGAAAAACUCCGGUGGUAUACGAUGGACCCGCGUCUGAUUAGCCAGUUGGCAGGGUAACGGCCUACCAAAGCGACGAUCAGUAGCCGGCCUGAGAGGGUGGACGGCCACAUUGGGACUGAGACACGGCCCAAACUCCUACGGGAGGCAGCAG
rnacentral:rRNA from 1 species